rnacentral:rRNA from 1 species
UACGAAGGGGGCUAGCGUUGCUCGGAAUCACUGGGCGUAAAGGGUGCGUAGGCGGGUCUUUAAGUCAGGGGUGAAAUCCUGGAGCUCAACUCCAGAACUGCCUUUGAUACUGAAGAUCUUGAGUUCGGGAGAGGUGAGUGGAACUGCGAGUGUAGAGGUGAAAUUCGUAGAUAUUCGCAAGAACACCAGUGGCGAAGGCGGCUCACUGGACUGGUAUUGACGCUAAGGUGCGAAAGCGUGGGGAGCAAACAGG